GUGGGGAAUAUUGGACAAUGGGCGAAAGCCUGAUCCAGCCAUGCCGCGUGUGUGAAGAAGGUCUUCGGAUUGUAAAGCACUUUAAGUUGGGAGGAAGGGCAGUAAGUUAAUACCUUGCUGUUUUGACGUUACCGACAGAAUAAGCACCGGCUAACUUCGUGCCAGCAGCCGCGGUAAUACGAAGGGUGCAAGCGUUAAUCGGAAUUACUGGGCGUACAGCGCGCGUAGGUGGUUUUGUAAGUUGGAGGUGAAAUCCCCGGGCUCAACCUGGGAACUGCCUCCAAAACUGCAUGACUAGAGUACGGUAGAGGGUAGUGGAAUUUCCUGUGUAGCGGUGAAAUGCGUAGAUAUAGGAAGGAACACCAGUGGCGAAGGCGACUACCUGGACUGAUACUGACACUGAGGUGCGAAAGCGUGGGGAGCAAACAGGAUUAGAUACCCGGGUAGUCC
rnacentral:rRNA from 1 species